ACGGCAUUUCCCCUCCCACACACAGUGAAGAAGGACAUGGACUGAGGAUUCGACGUUCAUCUUCGGUUAAUGCAAGAGUACCAGAUGAUGACCUGCUAUGCAGUGGAAAUGUAAGUUCUGCACUUACACAUCUGAAAAGAGGGCACAACUUCUUAAACACUAGCGCAUAAGCCAUGAACAUAUUCUUGAAUUGUUUCAAUACCAUGUCUCCAUUCCGAGUGUCCAUGUCAUUCUAUGUAUUAAAAGUAAAUGGAUCAAAAAUAAAUUUCCAACCAAAACUUGAGGAAUGUAUGGGCUGUUGAGAAAUCUGUGGACAAUUUGAUUUGAGGGGAAAAAUAAGUUCUUCAAGAAAGUGAUCCGUGUUGCACAAAAUUAAAAAAAUGUCCCCUUAAUGCUGGCCAAGAAGCAUCAAAUGGCAGUUGCCUAACACAUGGAUGCCAUUUCUUUUUUCAAGCCAAGAGUACAAAGGACAGAGUGUGUAGUUCACUUGUCACAGACUUUUCUGACAAUGUUCAGGAAUUUCUGCAGCUGUGGAGUCCUAAUUGUAGUACCACACUUGUUUUAUCCAGUGUUUCCAUUGAUGGCAUUAAGUGCUGCCCAGACAUGGAGGUUUCAGUUGGAUGUUGUACAGGUUUGCCCAAGUUCAUGCAGAUUGAGAAAAUCUUGGCAAUCAACACUGACAUAAUGUUCCUCUGCAAACCACAGACUGCAUGGUUGAGCAUUUGCUCUCUUAUGAGUUGUGCAGUGUGCAUUCACUGCAAGUUGUUAAGCCUUCUCUAAUAAAUGACCCCUUCCCUUUGGCAGCUUCUAAUAUCCUUUUUUCUUUGUUUUGUAAUUUUAGUUUGCCAUGUCGAUGACUCUUCACGUUACUGUGCAUGACAGUGACAUGUCUGUGAAAUCUUGGAGAAGUGGCCAGCACUUUUCACAGAAAGCCAGAUUGUUUUCCUCCUCCAAAUCCCAGAGUUACUUUCUAUGAAUUGUGUAUUUGAAUGUUAAUAACCUCUCCAUAUUUUUGCUCGGGUCUUUGCAGAAUUCAAUCGCAUAUCUGGGGAAAAUCUGAGAUCUAGAUUCUAUCAUGAGAAUCAUGUUCACUCAAGUCAUCUGAUGUAACACAUGUUUGCACUGCAGUGCUUUAGGGUCUUCCCUGGGGAUGACCCAGAGGAAUUUUUCAGGAUGUUUUGAUUCAGAUGUAGAUGCAGGCUUCAGCGAAUUAGAUGUUGGACUGCUCACAGUUUUACCUGAAGGCAAGCCUGCCAAACGUCCACAUGCCCUCAAUGUGGAUGCAAUGGAGGGAAGAAUUGUCAUGGAUGAUGUCCCAAAUUUGCCACAUUCUGUAUGUCUCCACUUUGCUUUGAUCCAUGCUCUAAAUUUAGACCAUCCAAAGACAAUGAAGAACACAUUUUAUUUUAUUCAGCGGGUAUUUCUGUCUUUGGGACAAAAAAGACAUUUCUGUCUUUUAAGGGUCUCCAAACCCUUAAAAUGGUCUUUUAAGCUGAACUUGUUUCUGGCAUAUUUUGCUGUAAUUGCAGUUCAGUUUAAGAAUUUUUCCAAAUUGUAAAGGCUCUUUUUCUUUUUUCAUUAAAUAAAUACUUUUUUGGAGUUUGCACAGUGCCUGUUCUGCAAAUGCUCUAUACCUUGUUUAUGGUCCAGAUAUUAUGUUGUCAUGCAGCAGAGUGCGGCAAGAGGUCGAAGUCUUGCGAACAGAUUGUUUUUUUUAUUGUGUUGUUCUUAGAGUUUCAGCUGUUUAUUUCGUAAAUAAACAGUUGAGAAUUUCAAACUUGUUAAGUGUGUUUUUUGAACUAGAAAAAUGAUUUUCAGUUUACUUAAAGAGAAUGUGGAAACCGAUUGCACGUAGUAUUUUAAGUGUACCCCACUUAAAAGUGAUACAGUAAACUCAUGUUGAGAUUAGUGGUAUUUCAGAUAUAAAGUGAACAAAUUGUAUUAAAUUUAAGUUAAUUGACAUAGUAGAGUAAUCUACUAAAAAAUAAUUUGUAAGGUUACUAAUUAAUUUAUAGAAAAUUAACAAAAAAAAAUUAAGUUAACUACAAAUUUACUAUUAAGUUUAAUAACAAGUUGACAUUACUUGCAUAGGAACAUUAAUAUAACUUCAUUUUAGUAAGUACGUUUUCUUUGCAGAAAUAAGGCAAUAGGUUUCCUUAAUUUUUAAGUAAACUGAACAUGUACAAUUUUACAGUGUAUGAAGGUAACACAUUUAAAAUACCGUCUUGUGUAAGACGAUGUAUUGUUUAAACUGUAUUGUACAAAGUAUAGCUAAGUAAUAACAGUUAGAUAUUGAAGACAAAGUGUGCAAUUUGUAGUAUUUUGAAUAAGCCAAAGGUGUUACGGAGCACAUACUUUUUACUCAAAUAUAAUACACUUAUGGUAUAUUGUUUGUAUGUUUCGAAUACACUUGCAAUUAAUUUGUAAUGUACUUGCAAUUAAUUUGUAAUGUACUUGUAACACAAAUAAAGUAUACUUUA